rnacentral:rRNA from 1 species
ACGGAAGGCAGCAGUGGGGGAUAUUGCACAAUGGGGGAAACCCUGAUGCAGCGACGCCGCGUGAGUGAAGAAGUAUUUCGGUAUGUAAAGCUCUAUCAGCAGGGAAGAAAAUGACGGUACCUGACUAAGAAGCCCCGGCUAACUACGUGCCAGCAGCCGCGGUAAUACGUCGGGGGCAAGCGUUAUCCGGAUUUACUGGGUGUAAAGGGAGCGUAGACGGCGAGGCAAGUCUGAUGUGAAAGCUCGGGGCUCAACCCCGGAACUGCAUUGGAAACUGUUUUGCUAGAGUGUCGGAGAGGUAAGCGGAAUUCCUAGUGUAGCGGUGAAAUGCGUAGAUAUUAGGAGGAACACCAGUGGCGAAGGCGGCUUACUGGACGAUAACUGACGUUGAGGCUCGAAAGCGUGGGGAGCAAACAGGAUUAGAUACCCUGGUA